GGGGUUGUGGCUCAAUGGUAGAGUGCUCGCCUAGCAUGUGUGAGGCACUGGGUUCGAUCCUCAGCACCA
rnacentral:tRNA from 1 species